GGGUGACGAAAUAAUCUAUAUGACAAACCCCUGUGGCAAUUUUCCCCUUACAACAAACCUGCACAUACACCCCUAAACCUAAAAUAAAAGUUAAAAAUAAAUGAAUAAAUAAAUAAAUAACCUUAAAGCCAUUCUCCCAGUGAAUGCUGAGCCCCAUAGCCUUCCUCUUUAGCCAAGAGCAGUUCUUGUAUUCUGUCCCCAAAAGCUUUUUGAUCAUUGGCAGGUAAGAGCUUUUUGCCCUGUCAUAGACUGUAGUAUGUGAUGACCUUGUAGAAUCCAGAAUACAUCCCCUAUGAAAUCUGGUUUACCACUUACUCCCCUCCCCAAUUAAGCUAUGUGGUUUUAUCAACAACUAUGGUAAUUUUUUUUCUGAUCUUGUGAUUUAAGAACUAAUGUUACAAACCUCAGGGAGACUAGUUAGUGUGUUUUAAGUGUAGCCAUAGGCUUGAUAAAGUAUUGGUAGAUAACUUGGCAGAACCUGAUGUCUUUGAAGUAGCAAUGUUCAGUUCAGCGUGUAACUCUCUCCCCCUUAAUAUCUUUUUAGUUUUAUCUGAGAAACAUACUACAUUUUUUUCUCUUUUCUUUCCUUUAAAGGUGGAUGCUCAAGUUUGAGGACUGUCAUGGGGACUAUCAGGUUUUUUAGGCAUGUGCUUUCUUUUUCUUCAAAUUAAAACCUGUUGUCUGUCUCUUGUCACUUUUCAGGACAGCCACACUCGGGGCUCUUACAAUCAGGGGUCAUAAGCUGCUAUGUCACCUACCUCACCUUCUCAGCUCUGUCCAGCAAACCUGCAGAAGUAGUUCUAGAUGAACAUGGGAAAAAUGUUACAAUCUGUGUGCCUGACUUUGGUCAAGACCUGUACAGAGAUGAAAACUUGGUGACUAUACUGGGGACCAGCCUCUUAAUCGGAUGUAUCUUGUAUUCAUGGUAAGUCUUGGGAGUUACUCAAGGUCACUUUUGCAGACUUUAAAAUUACAGGAAAAGAAUUGAAAUAACUUUCAGUAGCUGUGAGGCUGCAACCAUUUGAGGAGGGGGGAAAAUAACCACAAGUAAAAAGGCGAAGAGCGUGAACUCAUAUUUGAACUUCGUUCACCUUACUUGUUUUUAUUUGGGGUAAAUAAAGCAAAUAUAUGGUAUGUAAAUAUUUGAACUUCGUUUACCUUACUUGUUUUUAUUUGGGGUAAAUAAAGCAAAUAUAUGGCAUGUUGCAGCACCGUUGCCUAACCCCCUUUAAAAGAUGGUCGAAUAGUAGUUUGCUAUACCUUUACUGGAGGGCAGGGGAGCACAAAGUGAAGAAGAGAUAGAAUGUGCCAGCAUGUCCUGGCAGCUUUCUGAUCCAAAGGAAAUAGCUUUCUUCUGCUGUUGAUGGAAAGAGUACAGAGUGCUGUGUGCGUGGUCAUUCUGUGCAGACAAGAAAUGUUCAUUCUCUUUUCUGCUAAACCCACAAUGCUGUUGUUCACUCGGCAAAGCAGCUCCUCCAAAAGUAGAUGUGAUAUAUGAGUGGGCUGUGUUUCAGAUGCUUGUGGUGGGGGUUAUUCCACCUUUAAAAGGUUUAAAAGGUUGCUAGAGGGAGAAAAGUCAAGGAUAGAAAUGGCUAGUUAAUCUGGAUAUAUAUUUCGCUGAUAACUAAGCUUCCCUUUAACAGUAACCUUUUCACAUUUAGCCUUUACUUCUGUGUUUACAUUUUGUUAAUGUUCAGUAUAAAAAUUCAAUUCCAUUGAAUUCAGCCAUAGGCACAUUGUAAACUUCCUUUUUGCUGAAACGAAAUACUCCUGGUGGUGAUAGCUUGUAUAAAUAUAAUGUCUUUCUGAGCAUGUUGGCAUUUUCUCUUACCUCCUUUAACAACUUCUACUAUUAGAAAGGGACCAACGGGGACACAGACCUUUUAGAGUCUAUUUGCUCAGGGUCACACAUCAAGCAAUAAAAUGCUUGUUGUUUUACAGGUAGGUGUUAAGAUGAUGGUGACAUACAUUCAUUCUUGGCCUGUGUGACAUAGUGACAGAGUCUCCUUGUUGUUGCAGAAUGGACUGUGGUAACUUCUUUCUGGCCUUUCAAUUUUAUUAAUUCCUAAGUUGUUCGCAGAGUACCUACAAUAUAGGAAGCAGGCUGCGUGGUGCAGUGGCUCACGCCUAUAAUCCCAGCACUUUGGGAGGCUGAGGCAGGAGGAUCACUUGAACCCAGGAAUUUGAGACCAGCCUAGACAACAUAGCAGACCCUGUUUCUACGAAAAAAAAAAAAAAUCAGGCGUGAUGGCACGUGCCUGUGGUCCCAGCUACUUGGGAGGCUGAGAUGGGAGGAUCACUUGAACCCAGGUGUCUAAGGCUGCAGUGAGCUAGGGGUGUCUCCACUCCAGCCUAAGCAACCGAGUGAGACCCUGUCUUUUGAAAAACCAACCAUGAAGAUAUUUGAUAGAAUAAAAUCAUGUUUUUGUGGGUUACUGGGUACCCAAUGAAAAAAAAUAUUUGCCCUUGGCCAGGCGCGGUGGCUCACGCUUGUAAUCCCAGCACUUUGGGAGGCAAAGGUGGGUGGAUCACCUGAGGUUAGGAGUUUGAGACCAGCCUGGCCAACAUGGUGAAACCCCAUAUCUACUAAAAAUACAAAAAUUAGCGGGGUGUGGUGGUAUGCACCUGUAAUCCCACCUACUCCGGAGGCUGAGGCUGGAGAAUUGCUUGAACCCAGGAGGGGGAGGUUGCAGUGAGCUGAGAUCACGCCAUUGCACUCCAGCCUGGGUAACGAGAGAAACUGUAUUUCAAAAAAAAAAAAAAAAAA
rnacentral:lncRNA from 1 species